AGAGAACUUUUUUUUGGCCGAGAAGAAGGCGAGGGUCGAUGGCAAGGGCAACGCUGGUGGUGGAAACGGACGCGGAGGCCGUGCUGCUACCGCGCCAGAGUCGGUCGUGCCUCGGUUCCAGACGAAGCUCAGCAAACUUGGAAGGACACAGGACCACCGACGCACCUGCAGAAGGACGAACACCGACGAACAUGGACUCGCCUCUCCUCUUUGUCACCGUGGACAAAAAGCCUCCGUCGCCGGACGAAUUGAAUCCCGCCAAAAUCAAAGAUACCAUGUCGCAAGAUAAAGACAUCGAUGGGGUAUUGCUGAAAGCGCGUACAGCGUUCGCAAAAGGGAAAUCGAAACCCUACGAAUUUAGAAAGCAACAAUUGAAGAACAUCAUUCGCAUGUGCGAAGUCCACAGAGAUGAGUUUUAUCAGGCUUUGAAAGAAGAUUUAAACAAGAGUGUAUUCGAGUCGGCGUUAACAGAAAUCGAUAUUACCAUAAACGAAGCGAAAAACGCGCUCAGCAAUCUAAAAUCAUGGAUGGAACCAUACAGUGUACGUCAUCCUCCGAAAACAAUUCUUACCUUGUUAGACGAAGCGGUCAUCGUGAACGACCCAAGAGGAGUCGUCUUGAUAAUCGGGGCGUGGAACUACCCGGUCAACCUGAUUCUGAUGCCGCUGAUCGGCGCGAUAGCUGCCGGCAACUGCGUCAUCCUGAAACCAUCGGAAAACUCUCCGGCGACGUCUAAAGCGUUGACCAAGAUAAUUCCCCAGUACUUGGACAAAGAUUGCUACCACGUCUUGUUCGGUGGAGUGAAACUCACGGAGAAUUUACUGAAACGGAAGUUCGACUACAUUUUCUACACCGGAUCGAAAAGGGUUGGACAACUGGUGAGAGCCGCUGCGAACGAACACCUGACGCCGGUCACUUUGGAAAUGGGCGGGAAAAGCCCAGUUUUUAUAGACAAGACUGCGAACAUAUCGAUAGCGGCGAGAAGGAUUCUCUGGGGCAAAUGCAUCAACUCCGGGCAGACUUGCAUCGCGCCCGAUUACAUCCUCUGCUCCAAAGACAUCCAAUCCAAACUGGUCGAGGAACUUAAAAAAGGCAUCGAGGAAUUUUUCGGCGAGAAACCGUUGGACUCGAAGGAUAUCUGCAGUAUAAUCAACGAAGUCCAUUUCAAGCGGCUUUGCUCGUUGCUCAAGGAAGGAACGAUCGUCGUGGGUGGCAACAUAAGGGAAAAAGACAGAAAGAUCGCUCCCACAGUACUAACAGACGUCAAACUCAAAGAAUCAGUAAUGGAAGAUGAGAUUUUCGGACCGAUUUUGCCCAUUUACAACGUCGAAACUGUCGAGGAUGCCGUCAACUUUAUAAACGAGAGUAAAUUCCCUGCCGUUCGGCGGAGUCGGAGCUAGUGGGAUUGGCGCAUACCAUGGCAAAUACACAUUUGACACGUUCACCCACAAAAAGAGUUGCGUCGUGAAGGGCUACAACGCCGUUUUGGAUCGUAUAUGGAGGAUACGCUACCCACCGUACACGACGAAAAAACAUCGUCUGUUGGCACACUUCUUGGGAAUGAGGAUGACCUUCUGUGGACCGCUGUUCGUAAACUCGAUUGUUUUCAUAUUCGGACUCAUCGUAGGACAACUGGGAAUACUUCUCUACAAGCGAUUCUCGGAGUGAUUUUCAUUAUUUAGACGGGAUAAUUUAAGGUUACAUCUAAUAAAUGUACACUGUUAGGAAUCAAGGUUUGUAUUGCACUAGUCAGCUGAGUUAUGGUUCUUGAGUAAAUAGUUUAACUUAGAGAGGGAGUUCAUGUUGCAUUAAAAUCUAUACUAUGUAAUAUCUAUAUUAUAUAAAUAAAUAUGCAUAAAAUAUAAAUGCUCGAGAGUACUACUGUAUUUA
rnacentral:misc_RNA from 1 species